GGCCCAAUGGUCUAGUAGUAUGAUACGUGCUUCGGGUCUUUUCGAUCCGGUCCUCUCAGGAUCAUAGUUGCACGGGGUCCCGGGUUCAAUUCCCGGUUGGGCCC